AAAUACAAUGACUCUCGGCAACGGAUAUCUCGGCUCUUGCAUCGAUGAAGAACGUAGCGAAAUGCGAUACUUGGUGUGAAUUGCAGAAUCCCGUGAACCAUCGAGUCUUUGAACGCAAGUUGCGCCCGAAGCCAUUAGGCCGAGGGCACGCCUGCCUGGGUGUCACAC
rnacentral:rRNA from 2 species